CAGCAGUAAACGAUGCCGACAAGCAGGACACGGGAGUGUUUGCUGGGAGAAAUCAUAGUUUUCGGGCUCUGGGGAUAGUACGCUCGCAAGGGUGAAACUUAAAGUGAAAUUGACGGAACUACACUACCAG
rnacentral:rRNA from 1 species